AUGAGACUCGGGCAGGGGCACACCUCGCACUUCCUUUCUCCUCUGUUUUACGUUUAUUUUUCCUCCCUAACGCAACCUAGCGCUGGAACCGAGAGGGGCCGACCGAUUGCGGUGACUGCGUUUCUCCCGUGUAGAUGCUACCGCAGUCGCCGACGUCCCUUUUCAAAGGAUGCAAGCUCCCCGCCGGGAGCCGGAGGUGUUCUGCGGCCGUUCUGCCAGAGGCGCGGAGACCUCUGUAGUGGUCCUAGCAGGGAUGCCCAGCUCGUACUGAUCACAGCGCUCUCCUUCCUCCUGGACUCUAUGGCAUUUGUUGUAGACGACCAGGAGGAAUUCUCCCUCACUGGGAAGGGAAGGGCACAGGACUGCCUCUUCUUCCUCUGCUGUGUCCUCCUCUCCUUCUCCCUUCGCAAGCUCCUGUUCGCUGAGCAUCCUCCUGGCUAAGGCACUGAGCCAAGACCUGGGAGUGUGGAGGGGACACGAAGAUGAC
rnacentral:lncRNA from 1 species